AUAUAUAUAUAUAUAUAUAUAUAAUUUUAUAUAUAAAUAUAUAUAUAUAUAUAUAUAUAUAUAUNGUAUAUUAAUUAUUAUAUGUUUAAUAUAUAGCCAAAUUUUUGAUCCCGAAUUUUUAAUUGGUGAACGUAUAAUAUCGUAUCCGAAUAAUUACCGAAUCCGUUUUUUAGCCGUAUUUUUUAACAAAUUUAAAAAUUAAAAAACGAAUUUUAUCCGAAUUAUAUCCGUAUCGAAUUUUUGCCGAACCCGAAUUAACUAACUAUGUAUAGACCCAACAUACAUAAAAGGCUAGGUACAGCACGAAACAACAGAAUUCGUCGAAACUGUAACGGCCACAACCAGACC
rnacentral:lncRNA from 1 species